rnacentral:rRNA from 1 species
GGGGGGGGGGGGGGGGGGGGCUGAGGGAGGGGGGGCGGGGGAGCAGACGAGGAGCUUGCGCCUCUGACGUUAGCGGCGGACGGGUGAGUAACACGUGGAUAACCUACCUAUAAGACUGGGAUAACUUCGGGAAACCGGAGCUAAUACCGGAUAAUAUAUUGAACCGCAUGGUUCAAUAGUGAAAGACGGUUUUGCUGUCACUUAUAGAUGGAUCCGCGCCGCAUUAGCUAGUUGGUAAGGUAACGGCUUACCAAGGCGACGAUGCGUAGCCGACCUGAGAGGGUGAUCGGCCACACUGGAACUGAGACACGGUCCAGACUCCUACGGGAGGCAGCAGUAGGGAAUCUUCCGCAAUGGGCGAAAGCCUGACGGAGCAACGCCGCGUGAGUGAUGAAGGUCUUCGGAUCGUAAAACUCUGUUAUUAGGGAAGAACAAAUGUGUAAGUAACUAUGCACGUCUUGACGGUACCUAAUCAGAAAGCCACGGCUAACUACGUG